rnacentral:rRNA from 1 species
GACGAACGCUGGCGGCGUGCUUAACACAUGCAAGUCGAACGGAAAGGCCCUGCUUGCAGGGUACUCGAGUGGCGAACGGGUGAGUAACACGUGGGUUAUCUGCCCUGCACUUCGGGAUAAGCCUGGGAAACUGGGUCUAAUACCGGAUAGGAGCCAUUUUUAGUGUGAUGGUUGGAAAGUUUUUUCGGUGUAGGAUGAGCUCGCGGCCUAUCAGCUUGUUGGUGGGGUAAUGGCCUACCAAGGCGGCGACGGGUAGCCGGCCUGAGAGGGUGGACAGCCACAUUGGGACUGAGAUACGGCCCAGACUCCUACGGGAGACAGCAGUGGGGAAUAUUGCACAAUGGGCGCAAGCCUGAUGCAGCGACGCCGCGUGGGGGAUGACGGCCUUCGGGUUGUAAACUCCUUUCGCUAGGGACGAAGCUUUUUGUGACGGUACCUAGAUAAGAAGCACCGGCUAACUACGUG